CCGACCAAACGGACAAAUUCGGACGAACCAAACUCACAUUUGAUUUCCUCUUCUGCCGGUGUUUCCUCCUCGUCAUGCCACGGCAGUCGGCAGCCAGUGAGUGAAGUCAGUAAGUCACCACAGACCACACAAAUGCUUCCGACCACGGCGACCGCCUCAACGCCUCCGCCGCCACCGGCCCCGCCGCCUGGCGAGCCGCACGCUGCCCUGUUCCUCGCCCUGGGCUACAUGCGGCUGCCUGAGCUGCUAGCCUGCUGGCGCGUAUGCCGCCUCCUCGGCGAGGCCGUCGCGGGGGACCCCCUCCUGUGGCGCCGCCUCGCGGUAGAGCCGCCGCUCAGCGGCCGGGUGACCGACCAAGUCCUCCUCAAGCUGACUGCGAGGGCGGAGGGGACGCUGCGGUCUCUCCGCCUGUUCGGGUGCCUCCACGUUUCCGACACCGGCCUGCUCCGCGUCGUCGAGCACAAUCCCUGCGUCACCGAGAUUUAUGUUCCUGGAUGUACAGGCUUGACUGGUGAUGGGGUGGUGAACAUUGUUCAGCUUCUGCACGAACACAAGGGAAAUAUAAGUCGUCUCCGACUCGAUGGCAUUAGCAGGAUGAGUAAGCAUCAUCUUGAUAUUAUCAUGUCUCUCAUGUGCAAAGGAAACCCACAAGGGCAACAAGAUGGAAUCCCACUUUUCUACAACCAUAGAGCCCGUGAAGCGCUGAACACCAAUGAUGAACGCCCUAUUGAUGUUGAUGUUUGCUCAGUGUGUGCGAAUGUCAGGCUUGUGUUUGAUUGUACGAGGGAUGACUGUAGGAAAGUGAGGGACAGCUUGUGGCGGUGCCGAGGCUGCUACUUCUGCUUUCCUAGAUGCGAAAAAUGUGGUGGCUGUAUCAGUCCGGAGGAUCUAGUCGAGGCUGAUCUUGCUUGUUCAGAUCUUAUGUGCUUGGAUUGUUGGCUUACGGUCCCUAAAUGCAGCACAUGCAAUCGGCCUUACUGUGAGAGGCAUGAAAAUUUGAUGGUGUCCUUGUCGAUGGCUGGCCAGUUUUCAUGCCAGCGUUGCAAGGAGCUCGGCUCAUCACACGAGAGUCAGGAAGAUGACUAUUAGAAGUGAGCUUUCCACCCCUCUUCUGUUACUGCAAACACUUGAGGUACUUACUAAGAAUUCUGUACUAGCAUUUGCUAUUGGAUUUUACCGACGCUUCGAGCUUACAAUGCUAGCUGAACAUAUCAUGAUGCUGAAUUAUAUACCGAUGUUUGUCAAAUGAAGCAGAUACAUAUUUCAUGGACCAGUUAAACUGAUUGUUUGAAUGACAGUCCAAUGGUCACAACUGGUGUACGCAUGCCAGUGGACGCCUUAAUUUUGCUGGCAUUUUGA
rnacentral:rRNA from 1 species